CCAUUGAAAAUAAAAGGUUCCGUGGUUCUUUAAUGGCUCUAAGUAAUCUUCCCUAACGUAUUGAACCUCCAUCUAUCUUACCCUUCUUCCACCCAGACCUAGUUUCAGCAGGAGAGACUAAGCCAGGCCUUUUUGCCUGGUUCAAGAUGCCAUAGAAAUUAGGAAUAGAGACCCCCCCUUCUUCACCAAAAAGGGGGGGGGGGGAAUCACAGUUGCAUGCCCAGCAGACCCACUCUAAAUUCAACAACAAUAAAGAAGGGAAGGGAAAGAACGGCAGCAGAACCAAGAAGAUGAUGAAAUGUAGAACAGAUCACACCCAAUGGCAGUCUUCCGUACAUGCAUUAUGUGGUUCAGUCAAUCAAGCAUAAACUAUACACUAAUGAAUAUGGUUGUUUCUAUGCCAAUUGGUCCAAUACUGUGCUUCUAUACAUUUAAUAGUUUUCACGGCACCUAAGCAAUGUCAAGUCAGGGCCAAGGUGAGCUCCAUGUUCUAUACCCCAGGCCAGAGGUAAAACUGAUAUUAUAUAAACUUGUAAAGGGUGAACAUAUGGAGGGCCCAAGCCUGGGUUUUUAGGUCUGGGUGCCUUAAUACAUUAGGCAAUCGGUAGCCUUGGGCACCAAGGAAUGCCUUGUGAGUCUAGGCAAUGUAUUGACAGCUCUGAUACCAAACUUAAUCUAAUGAAGUAGCAUUCUGAACAUACAAAAA